AUAGUACUUCCUCCGUCCGGAAAUACUUGUCAGAGAAAUGGAUAAAAAUGAAUAUAUUUAAAACUAAAAUAUGUCUAGAUACAUCCAUUUCUCCGACAAGUAUUUUUGGACAGAGGGAGUAUAAA
rnacentral:pre_miRNA from 1 species